rnacentral:lncRNA from 1 species
UUAGUUGGUUAGAUAUUCUAUUUUGGGAAAAUCAAUUUGUAGAUUGUUUAUCUAGCAAGUUUCCUUUUUGCUUUGAAUUCCUUUUGUAUAAAAGUCAUCACAAGGCACAAUUCAUCAAUGAUCAUAUCUAUUUAUUCAAUCAUAAAUUCGUUUUAACCAACAUUUAUUUGGAUGGAAUCUGCCGCUUGUUCAUACCUACUUCCCGAACCCUGAGUCCAUUGAGAAUCGUGAUGCAUAGACACUGAAAGCUGAUCAUGAUGUUAUUCCGGUCAAUGAGUUCCAAAAUUAGUAAAAGGGAAUAUUUGUUUCUGGUUAGGAAAAAAUGUUACGUUUAUCAUUUGUUAAUGUGAUAUUUUUCCUUGAAAUUUAAUUGAAAGAGAGAUAGAUGCAAGUGGUUUCUUCAUCCUAUUUUCCAUAGAUUUAUAUGGAGCUGUUAUAUUUCUGAACAUUUCAUAUUCAG